UACGAAGGGGGCUAGCGUUGCUCGGAAUCACUGGGCGUAAAGGGUGCGUAGGCGGGCCUUUAAGUCAGGGGUGAAAUCCUGGAGCUCAACUCCAGAACUGCCUUUGAUACUGAAGAUCUUGAGUUCGGGAGAGGUGAGUGGAACUGCGAGUGUAGAGGUGAAAUUCGUAGAUAUCGGGAGGAACACCGGUGGCGAAGGCGGCGACCUGGGUCGAGACUGACGCUGAGGCGCGAAAGCGUGGGGAGCAAACAGG
rnacentral:rRNA from 1 species